GAAUGCGUCAGAGUUUGGUUUGGAAACGUCUCUAAGCCGUUUUUGAUCGGAAACGGUUAUGAACCGUACUCCAAUUGCUUGUUGUGUUCCAACUCUGCCGUUAUUUAUACUGUUUUAUUGGUGUGUCCUAAUUGAGUGUUGGAUCUUCUUAGUUUUUAUCAUUUCAUUUUAUUGUUUUAUUUUAAAACAAAUGAAUGGAAUGAAUUCAGUUAGAAACCUCUCAGUAGACCCCAUAAGGCCCAAGAGGCACACUGCUCUAUAUCUGCCGCAACCUACCAAAUCAUUACCAUCCUUUUCUUACGCCAAAAUCCCCCAAACCCUCAUUUCACAUCCGGCCGUCUCCCUCUCCCUCUCUCGAUCUCCCUCUCCCUCUCCCUCUCCCCCUCUCAAUCUCCCUCUCUUGCGAUCUCCCUCUCCCGAUCUCAACCCUCUCUCUCGAUCUCCCUGUCACUCUCCCUCCCUCUCUCUUGAUCUCCCUCUCCCUCGAUCUCCCUCUCCCUCUUCCGAUCUCUACUCUCUCUCUCUAGAUCUCCCUCUCACUCUCCCUCCCUCUCUUGAUCUCCCUCUCCCUUUUUUGGUGAGCUGUUGCUGAAUUGAUCAGCUAGCAUGUGUAUUUAUGGUGAAGAUGUAUGGCUUGGAUCCUGCAGAGUCCAGGGCACGUAACAUAUGUUUCACACAACUAUUUUUCUUGAUAUUGUUCAGGCCCUAAUUGAAGUGGUUCGGAUUUCUCAACAGUUGUUUAUAUCUCUGCUGGCUAUCUCUCCUAGCUCUGCUGACAUAUGCAGUGUUGGAUGUACUGUAUGUUGGCUAUCUCUUCUAUCUUUAUUGGAUGUACUGUUAUCGAGAUGGCUAUAGGAAAACCUCCCUGGAGCCAGCAUUACAAAGAGGUACGCUUAAAAAAAAAAAAAAAAAACUUGUUUUCAUUUGUUUGAUUUCAUUUCCUUUCAUCUACUCUUCAUGGCAUUUGGAUUUUUCAGAUUAACUUUUUCUAGGUUGCUGCUCUGUUCUAUAUUGGGACAACAGUCACAUCCACCCAUCCCUAAGCAUCUCUCGUUGGAGGCUAAGGAUUUUCUUUUGAAAUGUUUACAGGAGUAAAUACACACUUUUUUUUUUCUUUUCUUUUAGUUUUCAUUUUUUUUUCUGCCCUAUGUUUUAGAUAGUGCUGUUUGAGCGUAUUCAUUGCUUUUGAUGGAAAAAUCAUUUACGUUGCUAUCAUUAACAACCCACACAUCUGAUUAUUUAUUUUUUAAAUACAAAAUCAAUCCAGUAAGGGCCUGUUUGGUAGACACCUACAAUGAGACCAUCUCAUUUUCAUCAAUUUGCAAUUAUGUGUGAAGAGCCUUAGAGAUCCAAAUUUGGCAAGGAUUAAAAUAAUCUUGAUAACCAACAGUCAUGAUCUCUAAAGGCUGAAACUAACAACACAUUUUAGUAGUGAACCAAGCUUGAGGCCAUCUGCUUCCGAAUUACUACAGGUGAGAUUGCGAGCUUUAAAAAAAAAAAAAAAAAAAGUCUUCCUUGUAGAGCUUUAGAGUGAUAAGUAGUGACUAAUUAUCCAAUCUCAAAUUCAGUCGAGUUGCAGCUUUCCUUUUUUAUUGUUGAAUAGCCAAAUCACAUAAUAAUUUAGAGUUUUUUGCCUAUUAAUUUUGUAACCUGGAUGCAACACCCCUUUGUCACUGGAGAAUAUAAGGAUCCUCAUCCAAUUUUUCAC